rnacentral:rRNA from 1 species
AUUGAACGCUGGCGGCAGGCCUAACACAUGCAAGUCGAACGAGUGGCGGACGGGUGAGUAAUGUCUGGGAAACUGCCUGAUGGAGGGGGAUAACUACUGGAAACGGUAGCUAAUACCGCAUACCAUCAGAUGUGCCCAGGUGGGAUUAGCUUGUUGGGGGGGUAACGGCUCACCAAGGCGACGACCCCUAGCUGGUCUGAGAGGAUGACAAGCGAAACGGGAACUGAGAAACGGUCCAGACUCCUGCGGGAGGCAGCAGUGGGGAGUAUUGCACAAUGGGAGCAGGCCGGAUGCAGCCAUGCCGCGUGUAUGAAGAAGGCCUUCGGGUUGUAAAGUACUUUCAGCUGGGAGGCGUUACCCACAGAAGAAGCACCGGCUAACUCCGUGCCAGCCGCCGCGGUAAUUC